rnacentral:rRNA from 1 species
GACGAACGCUGGCGGCGUGCCUAAUACAUGCAAGUAGAACGCUGAAGGAGGAGCUUGCUUCUCUGGAUGAGUUGCGAACGGGUGAGUAACGCGUAGGUAACCUGCCUGGUAGCAGGGGAUAACUAUUGGAAACGAUAGCUAAUACCGCAUAAGAGUAGAUGUUGCAUGACAUUUGCUUAAAAGGUGCAAUUGCAUCACUACCAGAUGGACCUGCGUUGUAUUAGCUAGUUGGUGGGGUAACGGCUCACCAAGGCGACGAUACAUAGCCGACCUGAGAGGGUGAUCGGCCACACUGGGACUGAGACACGGCCCAGACUCCUACGGGAGGCAGCAGUAGGGAAUCUUCGGCAAUGGACGGAAGUCUGACCGAGCAACGCCGCGUGAGUGAAGAAGGUUUUCGGAUCGUAAAGCUCUGUUGUAAGAGAAGAACGAGUGUGAGAGUGGAAAGUUCACACUGUGACGGUAUCUUACCAGAAAGGGACGGCUAACUACGUG